GGAAUUCAUGAAGUCUGAGGACUUCUUUCAUUUUACUUUCAACUAAAAGCUCCAGCAUGAAACAGCAAAGGCUCACAGAGCUCAAGAUCAGGAGGUGGCCCUGUGAGAGGGUAUUCGGCCUGGAUCCCUGGUGAAACUCCAUCACUGAGCAGGUCUGUGAUAGCCCGUGUGGUCUGCUUUCUGUAGAUAAUACUCGGAGACUGUGCUGCAAACAUUCUCAGAUUAUUCAAAGAUGAACGAACAGUUCAAAUGGGCAGGUUUCUGUGAGUGCUUCCCUCUCAACCCCUUCCUUUUUUCAGUAUGUCUCCCUAUUUUCUUCCUCUCAAGCGUAUCUACUUCAGAAAACGUGGAAAGAAAAGAGCCUGGUGGGAAAAGUCGAUCAAGUGACAAUGACGUGCCCUUAUGGAAAAAUCUCUGGGAAAAUCCCUCCAAAACCCCCCAAGGUGAACCUCACGUCAACCAAAACCAAGACAUGAGCCAGAGCCUAAACAGAGGAAAGAAAACAGAAGAGAGGAUUCUAGUGAUGUAUCUGGUCAUCAUUCCAAGCAACCAAGCUGAACUUUUGCACUGACAAACAAUUUUUUCCAGAGCAUUUUAAAAUUUACAGAAUUCAACCCUGUCAACAAGACGGAGGGUCUCCCAAAUGCUGCAAUCUGCUCCGUGCUCUGUGCUGCUCUGCUGGGCUGUCACAACUGCUCCCUGUGCGUUUCUGCAG
rnacentral:lncRNA from 1 species